CCCGUAUAAGGACGCAUCAUUUUGACACGGGGUUACGUAUAGAUGAUCAAUCACAGCAAUCUUACAUAAAGUAUGGUACCGUUAAGUUUGGUACCAUCACAUUGUAAAUUGCCGGACUUGCGUUCUUUUAUAACUAGGUAAGUCGAACGAUAACAACAUUGUUCCUCGGAUUACUCAGGAACCAAAUGAAACAUAUAUAAAGCUAAAAGCUUGAUGGGGGAAAUAGCAUCUAAAUCAAACAGAUUGUUCAUCACUCUCGUAGAUUUUCUCCGAACCGGAAAAGAAGCUAGUUGUAAAAUAUGCCGAACUCGUACUUGCACUUAUCAAAAACUGAGCAAUUAAUCAAUGUCAAUCUAUCUAGCUGCAAUCACUUGCUAUUAAUCAAACUUAAUUAGCACUAAUCCACAAGAAAUCAACAGAUUAGGGUUUUUAAUUUAUUAAAUUUCAUAAAUAAACCUGUUGCUCCUCAUUGUACUUUUAUCCUCCGGGGCUGCCUCUCCUUCUCAGUAGCUAAUCUGUACAUCCAAUACACCUAUCACGAUGAAAGAUCAGAUUUUAGACAGUAAUUAAAGCGAAAAAUCAAGAACAUGAAGGAAAUUAGAGAGUACCAGAGCGAGGACGUGAGCUACUAUUAGGAGAACCACCACGAACGGCACCGAUUCGAGGAACCAUGGCCGCAGAGACGCCGGCUGCGGAUUCGCCAUUCGAUGGAAACAGGGAGGUUUUAGAGAGAGAUAGAUGGGAGAAAGAGAUGGAGA
rnacentral:lncRNA from 1 species